GCUUAACCGACUGAGCCACCCAGGCGUCCCACCAGCAAAACCAUUUUGACUCGGGUUUCGGUAUCUGCAAUGGAGCCAGAACCCCUGUUGUCUUUUCUGGGGAUGGAUAGCCCUGAAAGACAGGCUUUGGAUUCAUGCUUCU